rnacentral:lncRNA from 1 species
UCGUGUUCGGGGCUUAGCUCACCAUACAGCUUCAUUACUCAUGCUCCAGGCAUGGAUUAUCUCCCUCUGGCUGGUUUGAAGGGGGUGACUACUUAUCACCCACUGGCCGUGAUGUCACAGUUUGACCAGUUCCAGGACUUUCAUCCUUUCGAGGGGGCGAUAGGUCAGCAUUCAGCUUCUCGAUAUCUCUCAGUAGAGGACCGAUCCCGUG